CCCAACUGUAACUAUCAUACUGAGCUCUGAGACUCAGCCCCCAACACUUGCGCCCAACACAGGAGGUGGAUGUGAAAAGGGCCAAAACGAGGGAUAUUCGGGUGGCAAGCGGCUGGAGCAGAAACACAACCUCGCAAAGAGGGACCCCGACACGAAAAACGGCUCGGCCGCUCAAAUAAAGUCGCCGUAAGCCGCCGUAAGCCGCCGUUCGGAACCCGCGCUUUUCUUCCGCUUAAAAGCCGAUACUUCCGAUUGGACAGAUUGCAGUGAGUGGUCACGUGACCCGCAACGAUCGAAAGUCGGUCUCCCCCCCCGUCGAAUGUCCGUCUCACCGCCGCGGCUGGCUAGAGAGUCACGUGAUCACUCGCACCUCCCUCCUUCCCUCCCUCCCCCACAUCUCCCUCUCCGGUCACGUGACUGCGACCGACGUUACAUUGCUCUCUCCACUUGUCCCGUUUCGGCUGGUCCUAGUCGAUGAGGUCAGGCCCGAUUGGAAUAUCUGAGGCAAUCUUGUUUUCGUGAUAAUCCAAAAGACGCCUUGAACUUUGUUUUGAGGGGUAGAAACGAGAUCUUUUCAGGGACCUCUUUGGCGGGGUUGGGAGGAUCGAUAUUGGUCGCGUUUGAAAGCUACUGUUUGGGGGAGUCGAUUGGUUUUGGUUUGGAGAUGCUGGGAUGUCUGGUUAUUGAGAUACGGGCUAUCUUGUGCCACAAGUGUGGUAGAGAGAACCUGAGACUUGCAACGUGUUCCCAGGCGUGGUUUUGGGAGGUUUGUUGGAUUGUACUCUCUUUUGGGAGGUAUUUUUAAUGAUUUUUUUGAUUACACCACGGCCAUCCAGAAGAACAAUGUGACGACUCCUUGUUAAAACCUGCAUGUAAAAAUAAUUUUCAGCAUUUGAAAUACCUUUUUUAUUCUGAAUUACAAUACAUACAUACAAUAAAUACUCCGUUU
rnacentral:misc_RNA from 1 species